GCUUAACGCGAAGAACCUUACCCACCUUUGACAUGUACGGAAUCCUUUAGAGAUAGAGGAGUGCUCGAAAGAGAGCCGUAACACAGGUGCUGCAUGGCCGUCGUCAGCUCGUGUCGUGAGAUGUUGGGUUAAGUCCCGCAACGAGCGCAACCCUUGCCAUUAGUUGCUACAUUUAGUUGAGCACUCUAGUGGGACUGCCGGUGACAAACCGGAGGAAGGUGGGGAUGACGUCAAGUCCUCAUGGCCCUUAUAGGUGGGGCUACACACGUCAUACAAUGGCUGGUACAAAGGGUUGCCAACCCGCGAGGGGGAGCUAAUCCCAUAAAGCCAGUCGUAGUCCGGAUCGCAGUCUGCAACUCGACUGCGUGAAGUCGGAAUCGCUAGUAAUCGUGGAUCAGAAUGUCACGGUGAAUACGUUCCCGGGUCUUGUACACACC
rnacentral:rRNA from 1 species